rnacentral:rRNA from 1 species
UACGGAAUGUGCAAACGUUAUUCGGAAUCACUGGGCUUAAAGAGUCCGUAGGCGGCAUGUUAGGUGAGGUGUGAAAUCCCCCGGCUCAACCGAGGAAUUGCGCUUCAUACCGGCGUGCUAGAGGAAGAUAGAGGUGGGCGGAACUGAUGGUGGAGCGGUGAAAUGACGUUGAUAUCAUCAGGAACACCGGAGGCGAAGGCGGCCCACUGGGUCUUUUCUGACGCUGAGGGACGAAAGCUAGGGGAGCGAACGGG